CAAAAUAUAUAUAUCUAUAUGCAAUUGAAUUUAUUAUUAGAAUAUUGGACGGCUCUCAUCUGAAUAUGGUGCGUGUUUUAGUUAUUAGUUUGAGGUGGUUGACUAAGGAUAGAUAGCCAAGCAAACACGUUUGAUUUACAAAACAAAUGGUCCACUCCCUUAGAUUGGACUCAAAUUACUUCACUUACGGUCAACUGGUAGCCACACAAACUCGUUUUCUUUUCUUCUUUCAAUUUCUCAUUUUUCC
rnacentral:lncRNA from 1 species